AGAUAUAAAGUGAUCUGAAAUUUACCAAUAUGAGACAAAUAAAGUUGAAAUAGUGUAGAAGGUUAUCGAAUGCAUUGGCAAAAAAGCAACGUUGGUGCAGGUUGCGCAAAGUUCAAAGAACUGCUGAGCACGGCCUGUUAUCUCUACAGGGCAUUUUCUUUAUAAAACUACGGUCACCCCUUUUCUAACGAAGUGGGUCGCUAAUCAAACGGCUGUUGCGAACGCAGACUUUCUGCGCCAUCGGGAAGAAGCUGGGCGGGUACCACGUGUACCGCUUCAACGCGGCCAAGUCGUUCGGCUGCCUCGGUCCUCUGCACCCGGCUCGCAAGCUUUGCGUGCGGCUCGUCACCAGCCAAUACCUGGACAUGUUCGUUCUAGUCCUGGUACUCCUCAACACGCUCAUGCUUGCCCUCAAGUACCGCAACUGGCUCCUGGAUUUGCUGUUCCUCGCCCUCUUCACGCUCGACAUCGUGAUCCGGGCGGCGGCGCGGGGAUUUCUGAUGCACAAGUUCAGCUACCUGAGCGAGCUCUGGAACUGCCUCGACUUUGUCGUCACCUGCGCCGGGUGAGCUUGCUGUUGUAGAGACCCCGCUGACGCACCACGGCAACACGCUACGGAGGGGGCUCGGCGGCUAAGGUGUCUCACGCUGAGAGCACGAGGUCGCGG